AACGAACGCUGGCGGCAUGCCUAACACAUGCAAGUCGAACGAGACCUUCGGGUCUAGUUGCGCACGGGUGCGUAACGCGUGGGAACCUGCCCUUAGGUUCGGAAUCACUCCCCGAAAGGGGUGCUAAUACCGGAUAAUGUCUUCGGACCAAAGAUUUAUCGCCUUUGGAUGGGCCCGCGUUGGAUUAGCUAGAUGGUAGGGUAAAAGUCUAUCAAGGCGACGUGACAUAGCUGGUCUGAGAGGAUGCUCAGACACACUGGGACUGAGACACGGCCCAGACUCCUACGGGAGGCAGCAGUGGGGAAUAUUGGACUAUGGGCGAGAGCCUGAUCCAGCAAUGCCGCGUGAGUGAUGAAGGCCUUAGGGUUGUAAAGCUCUUUUACCCGGGAUGAUAAUGACGGUACCGGGAGAAUAAGCUCCGGCUAACUCCGUG
rnacentral:rRNA from 1 species